rnacentral:rRNA from 1 species
UAUACGACCGUACCGCAAACCGACACUGGUGCGCGAGAUGAGUAUUCUAAGGCGCUUGAGAGAACUCAGGAGAAGGAACUCGGCAAAUUGACACCGUAACUUCGGAAGAAGGUGUGCCCUAUUAGUGUGUAGUGAACAACGAAGCAUGAAUGGGUUGCAAAAAAUCGGUGGCUGCGACUGUUUAUUAAAAACACAGCACUCUGCAAACACGAAAGUGGACGUAUAGGGUGUGACGCCUGCCCGGUGCUGGAAGAUUAAAUGAUGGGGUGCAAGCUCUUGAUUGAAGUCCCAGUAAACGGCGGCCGUAACGAUAACGGUCCUAAGGUAGCGAAAUUCCUUGUCGGGUAAGUUCCGACCUGCACGAAUGGCGUAACGAUGGCCACACUGUCUCCUCCUGAGACUCAGCGAAGUUGAAAUGUUUGUGAUGAUGCAAUCUCCCCGCGGAAAGACGGAAAGACCCCAUGAACCUUUACUGUAGCUUUGUAUUGGACUUUGAACAGAUCUGUGUAGGAUAGGUGGGAGGCUUUGAAGCAGGGUCGCUAGAUCUUGUGGAGCCAACGUUGAAAUACCACCCUGGUGUGUUUGAGGUUCUAACCUAGGUCCAUUAUCUGGAUCGGGGACAGUGCAUGGUAGGCAGUUUGACUGGGGCGGUCUCCUCCCAAAGCGUAACGGAGGAGUUCGAAGGUACGCUAGUUACGGUCGGACAUCGUGACGAUAGUGCAAUGGCAUAAGCGUGCUUAACUGCGAGACUGACAAGUCGAGCAGAUGCGAAAGCAGGACAUAGUGAUCCGGUGGUUCUGUAUGGAAGGGCCAUCGCUCAACGGAUAAAAGGUACUCUGGGGAUAACAGGCUGAUACCGCCCAAGAGUUCAUAUCGACGGCGGUGUUUGGCACCUCGAUGUCGGCUCAUCUCAUCCUGGGGCUGUAGCCGGUCCCAAGGGUAUGGCUGUUCGCCAUUUAAAGAGGUACGUGAGCUGGGUUUAAAACGUCGUGAGACAGUUUGGUCCCUAUCUUCCGUGGGCGCUGCAGAUUUGAGGAAGCCUGCUCCUAGUACGAGAGGACCGGAGUGGACACACCUCUGGUGUAUCGGUUGUCACGCCAGUGGCAUUGCCGAGUAGCUAAGUGUGGAAGAGAUAACCGCUGAAAGCAUCUAAGCGGGAAACUCGUUUCAAGAUGAGAUCUGCCGGGGCCUUGAGCCCCCUAAAGAGUCGUUCAAGACCAGGACGUUGAUAGGUCAGGUGUGGAAGCGAAG